AUGGCGGAGCAGGGCAGGGAGGUUGGUUACUUGAAAUACAGGUGUGGUCAUUUGACUUGCGUUUUUAUGGGUGUUUCCAGGGAUGACACCUGCACUGUUAGUUGUCUAGUAAACACGUGGUGUUGCAACUCUUAUAGAAGUCCAUUAUUUUUGUGUAUCCAAGACUGGAAGGGAUGGAAGCAAAGAGGCUGCCUGAGGGAUACACGGGGCAGAAACCAAUGGCUGCAAGACCAGAGACGCAGAACCCUCCGAGGAGAGGACAGUCUGGAUCCUGGGGACCUCCUCGGUUAACUGGACGAUUCUGCAUGCCCUGCCCUGGAGACGCCCCGCCCCCAUGGACUAUUAGGCAUGUCCACCUCCUGAACCUUGGUGGCCCUGGGGCCACCCGGAACCCCUCCACCUGCAACACUUGGUAAGAUGAUCUAAGCACUAGGAGUUGACUUGUAAAACACACUCACCUUAUUUUUGUUGCUGUUAGGUCUUGGGCCAAGGUGCAGAGGUGGUACCACAGACCAUUGUGAUGCAAGGGGAAUGUGUCUGCUGCCAUUACCACAUUCCUCAAGUUUCUCAGGAUCUCAUCUUUGUCCUUUCCCCCACCAUGGGUUGGUACAGGCGUCUCUUGGAGAGAAGGAAUGGGGCUAUAUGCAGAAAAUCAGACAUAGCGUUUCAGCAGAAAUGCCCUGUACACAGUCCACGUGCUGGUAUCUGUGAGGCAUGAGGCACAAUAUAACGUAUGUCCAUCUAGUUGUGCCCCGAGCCAUCCAUAGUUGUUCGAUGAGUGAUGAAUACAUCUGAAUCAGGGCUUUUAUGAGUCUUCAUCACGUUAUAAGGGAUGGUUCUUCAAGUGCUUCUUGGGGAUCACUGGAGGCAUGUGGGACACCCUGUGCAUGUAAUUUGGGAUCUCACUGGGGCAAAGAGUUUAAGUUGUUGGAAGUAUCAGGGGAGGGUCUUUUGUUUUUGAUCUUCAAACAGUCUACUCAAAUCUAGAAUAAUACACUCCAUUCACUUCAGGCUUUUUGCAGGUCCAGAAGUAGGUGUCACAACCAAGAGUGACAUCGACACUGGCUCUGCCAAAACUGCAGAGAAGCACAAAGUAAAUGCUGUGGCCAUUUUCAGUUCUAAGUAUUUACGGACAGCCACAUCUUUCUGUACAGGACAGUCGCCUGCCAUUGUCUCUGGUUUGUGUGAAGUAUGUUCUGUCUGCUGUUUUUGUUUUUUUCCCAAAUGCAAAACCUUUACCGCCGAGUCUAUGGGCUUCCCUGUUUUCCAGCUGGCAUCUGUUUUUGAUAAC
rnacentral:lncRNA from 1 species